rnacentral:sRNA from 1 species
AUGUCAAUUAUUAGUUCAUUAACUCCUGAUGAGGAACGUACACUAUUUCUCAGUUUCGAAAAAGAUUUAUACAGAAAAAUCAAGGCAGGUGAGUGGGAUAAGGCUGUUAAUCUCUAUCGGGAAAAAUUUGAAUGGGCUCACGAGAGGCUGCUGAUCAGGAAGCUAGGUGGAACGGUAUUGCAUUUUGCUGUAUCCCACGGCCCAGAUAAAAUUGUUGAGCAACUCGUAGAAAUUUGUGAGAAAAAGGAGAAGAAGGAGGUUCUAAAAACCAGAGACAUGCAAGGGAAUGUCCCUUUGCAUUUGGCAGCAUCAACAGGGAGUCUGAGGAAGUGUAUCUGCAUUGCUGAAGCUGAUCCGUCAUUGGGGAAUGCACGUAACAAGGAGGGUGAGAGCCCUCUCUUCUCGGCUGCUAUUCUUGGUAGAACCGAGAUCUUCCUUUGCCUCCGUUCUAUCUGUAAUAACGAACUACACAGUUCCUACUUUAGAAAAACCGGUGGUGAGACUAUUUUACACUGUGCCAUCAAGAGGAAUUGUUGGGGUGAGCAUUUUAAUUUGUUCAAAGUCACUUCGCCUAUCAAAUAACUUAUGAACUAAUAUUUAACUUUUAGGAAAAAAAUUUGUCAUCUUAUGAUAUUAAUUUUCACUCUCCAAUAAUUUGAUGUCAGAUAUCAUAUAACCAAUAGUUGCUACAUGUAAUAUUUUACAUCAUGAAUAAUCAUGUCUACUUGUAAGAAAAUUUUAGGAUUUAUAGUAUACUGGUGAAAUUGGCUUCUAAUUAUUCAUGAAAAGAAAAAAAAAAAAAAGAUUAAAAAAAGGAAAUUAUCUGCUGAUUGAAUUCUGCUAAAGAAUACCAAUUUUAAACAUUGUUGUUGACAGAUUUGGCAUAUCAGCUACUUCUCCUAAUAAAAAAUAACCACCACAACUACCCAAUAAUCAGCACCACAACCACCAAAUUGCCGCCACAACCAUAGUACCACUGCCACAACUAACCCACAACCCACCACAAUCACAAACCUCAAAACCCAUCCCAAAUCAAACAAACCCACAGCUCAGGCGGCGAGGUCGGCUUCAGAUGGGAGACAUCAAUGGCGAGAUUGGCUCAGGCAGCUUCAGGCGAAAUCGGUUUUAGCAGCUUGAGGUGACUUUAGGCGAGAUCGGCUUCAGGCGGCUUGAGGAUGAGAGAGGAAGAGAAUGAGAGUGAAGAGGGAGCUGUGGAGGACGACUAUGGCUCCGGUGAGAUUGUCGGCUUUAGCAAGAUCAGCAGUGAGAUCGGCGGUUCGGCAAGAUCAACAGCGAGAUUAACGGCUUCGACGAGAUCGGCAAGAGAGAAGAACGAAGAUGCAGAGAGAGAGAAGAACGAACGCAGAUGCAGAGAGAAAAGGGAGAGAGAGAGUCCGACUGAAUAUAUGAGAGAGGAAAGUCUGAAGGAAUAAACAAAUAAUAAAAAAUUUUGGCAUGGAUGUCCAUACCGUCUUAUAUUUGAGACAGUACUGUAGCUGUGUGCCAAAAAUUUUGGCAUUUGAAACAUCUCAUGAGGCUUAUAUUUUGGAGUUUGGUGUGCAAAAUGCCAAAUAUUUGGCAUUUGGCACACCUGAUGAGAAUGCUCUUAUAGUGAGUAGUGGAAUUGGGCAUGCCAUCCAAGGAUUAUCAAUCAACUUCUCAACAUCUCAUAGAUCAUAAGGAGGAAAUGGAAACAUUUUAGAGCUCUAAACAUAUAUUAAUACGUAAAUUUUCUAUAAAAUAGAUAAUGGUAAACAUUGGGUAAGAUUUAAAAAAAUAAAAAUAAACAAAAACAAAAACGCUACAAUUUAUACCGAUGACAAAUUAAACUUUGUACUUUUAAUUUAAUUGUUACAAACUAAACUAUAUGUGACAAUCAAAACACUCAUCUCUCACUCCUAGUUCAACGGAAAAUAUGAAAUAUCACCAUUAAUUGUCUUCAGGAAGGGAAAAAACAUGCCAUAAAUUUUAAACUAUAAGUUUUUUUUUUUUUUUUUAGUCAUAAAACUUUUAGGAUGGGAACAUUUUAUGAAGGAAUACUUGUACAAGUCAUUGAUUUUUUCUGGUUAAGGUAAAACUCAUUAAUUAUUCAGCAAAAAAAAAAGAAAAAAGAAAAAAAAAAAAGCCUUUAGGCCAACAUGUUCCCUCUUUCUUUCCUUUUUUUUUUUUUUUUUUUUGGCACGUAGAAACCUCUUUCUCUGUUUUAGAUAUUAACAAGGCAAGGUUCUAGUUCAUUUUUUUUAUCGUAUAGAAAAAGUUAAAUUUUUCUUCAAAAGAAGAUGAAAGUGAAACUACUCAUUCCGGCAAAUAAAUGGAAUGAAAUAGAAUGAAGUAAUAUUGAUUGGGUGUUUUAAAAUGAAAAAAUAAAGAUGAAUGGAAUGUAAGUAAACUUGUUUGGGAGUAACAUAGAAGGAAUGAAAUUAAUCAAUCUAACAAUAUUACUAUUACACCUCUAUUUUAGAAUAAAUUGUUGAAUAUAUAGGGGUAUUUUGAAAGUUUUAGUAAAAAAUUCAUUAAAUCUAAUUACAUUCCCUUUCAUUCAUCCCAAUUUUGGAAGAGUGAAAAUUUAAAGCUUAGGAAAUAGAGAGUAAUAAGCGUUCCUUCCUACUCAUUUCAUUAUCUCUCACUUAAACUCCCAAAUAAGGUAAUAAACUUUUUAUUUCCCUCCUUAAAACUCUCAAAUAAGGGAAUGGAAGAAUAUUUUAAAAUUAUUUUUUUUCAUUCCCUCCUAAAAACCUAGGGCUUAAACUAUGCACCAUUAGCGGUGUGCUUUCUCAUUUAAGCUAACAUAUUCCCUAUUUCUUUUCUUCUUUUCCCAGGUAAAGGUACAACUCACUGAUUUUUUUUGACUGAACAACUCACUAAUUAGUUAGCUUAUUCUUUUCUUUUUCUUUUUUGAGAAGAUAUUCUUUUCUUAAACUAUGCACCAUUACCAUUAUGCUUUCUCAUUUAAGCCCUCCUUCUUUUCUUUUUCCCCCUCCCUCUCUUAUUUAAAGGUAAGGUUCUAGUUCCUCUCUUUUCUUUUUUGGUAAAGACUAAAGAAAAAGAUAAAUUCAAUAGAUGAAAAAGACUAAACGAGACCACCCUAACCACGUUUUAUUCCUGUUGAAGCAGUUCGUUACACAUGGGAGAUGCCUACUAACAAAAAGAGAAAAGCGAAUGUUGCUAAAUAUUGUGACACUGGUUGAAAUACAUCCAAUGUUUAUAUUAGAACAUAUAUGAUAAUAUGAAGUAAGUAGACAUUUAUACUAAUUGUAGUAGGUUAGUUAUAUUAUAUUGGAGUCACUGCUUAAUAUAGAACUGUUGUCCAUAUGUUCUACUUUUUCGUAUUUUCUUGUUUUCAUCCAUUCUUUUAUCGUGGUAGAAAUGGAUAUCAGUUAACGAUUUGUGCCGGUGACACGUAAAGUAGCACAAUUUGUGUCCCAAUCUACUUAUAUGGUAAGUUGUAAGUGAUAAAAAUGUGUCUCCAAAUGGAUCAACCAUCACACUUCUUCCACCUAUACCUCGUCACGUAGGUAAAUUGUGACGCAAAUUAUGCUACUUUAUGCAGCACCAACUUAACUUUUAGUUAACAGGUCUAUAACCACCCUCAUGUAAUCAUGCUGGGCGUGUUUUUCAAUGGUGUAUCAUGAGGUUUCAAUUUUCUAUGAUGGGUUUUAACUAAUUAUCCUGGAUUUGGUACUUGGAGUCUGAUGUCGAUGGUUAGGUCUCGUUAUAUUUGGUAAAUCUGUGCACUAAAUUAUUUUUAUAAGAUAUUUUGUAUCAAAUGAUAUCAUAUUAACUAUAUCAAAACUUAAUAAAUAAAAUACAUGUAUACAAAAAUAACUACCCUACUAAUAAAUGAGAGACAUAUCUUGAUGGGUAAUUAUUUUUGCACACAUAUCUCUCAUUUAUUAAAUUUUAACAUAGAUAAUAUGAUAUUAUUUGAUAAAAAUUACAUUUAAUUAUCUUACUGGACAAUCUUCCUUUUUUCAAUUUUCUGAACUAUGACAUGACACCAUUAACAGUAGGUUGGAUGAAAGUGUCAUUCUAUUUAUAUAUUUGAAAGGACGUCAAAAUGGCCAAAAUAUCAUUAUUUACCGGAAUAUAUAUCACUAUUUUAAAAAUAUGUAGAGAUCUAUUAUAUUUUGUAAAAAUUCGAGUUUUAUUGUUUACCGAAAUAUAUAUCAAUCUACUACUGUUUUGAAAAUAAAUAGAGAUUUAUCACUUUUUUAAAAUUCGAGUUUCAUAAACUCAAGUUCUUUGAAAAAAUUGACUUCAAAAUCGAGUAUCCCAAAAGUGAUAUAUCCUUACAUAUUUUCGAAACAGUAGUAGAUUGAUAUAUAUUUCGAUAAACAGUGCUAUUAUGACAUUUUCACCUUUGAGAGUACAAUAUAUAGGAUUUAGAAGUUGGAAUAGAUAAAGAUUAUAGAAAUUCAAAAAUCCUUAAAAGCAAAUUUAAAGUAACAAUAAUAAUAAUAAUAAGGCUAUUUCAAUAUCAAUUAUAUCUCAAUAUAAUCAUAUUCAAUUUGGAACAAAUUAAAUUUAAAAUAAUAACUGUGAGAAUAUUAGUGAGAAUAUCGUGAAAUGCAUUAUUCAAAGUUUUACCGCUAAUGUGAAAUAAUUCAGUCUUAAGAGCAUCACACUGGAGGACAAAUCUCUAUAUUAAUUAGCUUUUUUUCUUUUUUUUUUCCCUAAACUAUGCACUGUUAGCAUCAUGAGUCGGUGUGCUUUCUUAUUAAUUAAGCUAACAUAUUCUCUCUCUUUUUUAAGGCAAGGUUCUAGUUCCUUUAUUUAUUUAUUUGGGCCAAAAUGGCAAAAUAUCAAUUUCUCACAAACUUUUCAACAAAACGCCCUAUGUCUAAAAUUAUUUAGAGAUAUGUCUCUGUUUUGAAACUUGAUCUUUAGAAAAUCAAGUUUCAAAUGUAAAACUCGAUUUUUGGACAAUCGAGUUAUAGGGAAUCGAAACUUAAAAAAGAAAAAAAAAAUUUCUGGAACUCGAGUUCCACAAUUUUUUUUUUUUUUUUAAAUUUCAGUUUGCUAUAACUUAAUUGUCCAAAAAUCAAGUUUUACAUUGAAACUCGAUUUUUAGAAAAUCGAGUUUCAAAACAAGGGCACUUCCUUAAAUAGUUUCAGACAUGGGGCAUUUUGCUGAAAAGUUUUGACGAAAUGGGCAAAUGCCAAUUUUGGCCUAUUUAUUUGGUAAAGACUAAAGAAAAAACUAAUUUUUGUUCAAAAGAUGACAAAGAGACUGCCCUAGCAGUUCAUUACUCACGAACUGAUCCGGGAUAGAUGCCUAUUAACAAGAAGAAAAGCUUGGAAUGUUACUAAACAUUGUGACACUGGCCUAAUAAAUCCAACGAUUAAAUUAUAUAUAUGUGUGUAUGUGUGUGAGAGAUUAUGAUUAUAGUUGAAAGUAAUUCUUGUUCAAAAGAUGAAAAAGGGUAAUGGAUAUGUAUUACUUGGGCCUGUUUGUUUUGUGAGUUCUAACUCACUAUUUCACAUUUCAAACACACUUACACAUAUUUCAACACACUUCUUCACCCAUACUAUAUUAAAAACACCCAAAAUACCUUACUCAAACUUAGUUACCAAAUGGGCCUAGAAGUGCACUCGAUAUGUAUUACUUUUUUGUGUAUUCUUGUUUUCAGUAAAUGGAUAUAACCACCCUCAUUUUGGUCGUGUUUCUCAGUGGUGUAUCCUGAGAUUUUCUAUAAUGGGGUUUAACCGAUUUUCCUGGAUUUGGUGCUCGAUGCUCAGGCCUUUUAUUUGUUAUAUUUGGCUAUUCUGAUAGGGCAAGAUUGUCCUUUUUGGACAGUUUACAUUGCCUAUAUAGAAUUCACAUUAGGUGCAAUACUUAAUCAAUGGCUGAGAUUGAAAAUUGAAAAAGUAACUUUUAAUCUCAGUCAUUAAAUAAAAUAUAUUACAAAAAGUUAAAAGUUAGAAUUAAAAAGUUAAAAAAGUUAAAAAAAAAUUGUGAGAGAAGUGGUACCACCUGAUGUGAAUCCGCGUAUAUACACCCGAAAAAAACAUAAUUUUGACAAUAUCUUUGACGCUUGCCAAUGUCGAAAAUUUGUACUACUGGUUUUCAUUUGAAAUUAUUACUUAACAUUAUUUUUUUUAUUUAUCACUAAAAAUAUGUCAUAUCAACUGGUGCCAAAUUUUUUAUUUUUUAUUUUUUUUAUUUUUAAUCUAUAAACUUUCUCGCCUACAGUUUUUUGUCCAGUUUCUUGAACUGACAUGACACCAUUGGUCUUUUCACAGUUAUUGCGUGCAUGUUCAUAUCUCCCAUAUCGAUGACUUCUACGAAAAGUGAAAUAUGCACAAUUGAUGAGAUCAUGUGUCCUUUCUCAUUUAAGUUGACAUUUCCCGUCUUUUUCUCUUUCAAUGCAAGGUUUGAAUGAUGUCACUCAAUAUGCGUGGUAUUGUAUGUAUUCUAUUUAUAUAUUUGAGAGUACAAAAAUAGGAUUUAGAAGUUGGAAUAGAUAAAGAUUAUAGAAAUUCCCAAAUCCUAAGAAGCGGAAUAAUAAUUGUGGGGUUUGUGGGUCUGAUAGCCUCAGCCCAUCGUGUAGUAGAUCCAAGGCCCGCGUCGAGGAAGGAUGACCAUCCAAGGCUAAAUUAGGGAGAGACUCUUUUCUGGAUCCACGCCAAGGACCUCUUCGUCCUCGGCAUACUAAAGAUAAUUUUGGAAAGGGACAAACCCAGAGCAAGCUGUCACCUCCACACUUAAUGCAUUCACCUAACCCCUCUGGCCACAUUAAUGGAGAUGCAACCCCUUAGCAGGGCGACAUUGAUCAGUGUGAAUCACUUGAGUGUUGAUAAGACUUCUGAUAUGACGGACGGUCCGAAGAAAGGCGAAUAGAUGAUCAACAGAUGGAAGAACGAGAUAGGACAAUGAAGACUAUAUAAAGAGGAGCGAUUAAAGUAAAAAAGAGGAGAAAAAUAAAAGAAAGAAAGAAAAGAAGAGAAAGGGGCUCCUCGGCCAUGGGCCGAGGAGCAUCCCCCAGUUGUAAAUAGUUCUAAGUAUUUUCUAAUAAAAGAAGAGAGUUCAUGCUCCCGGAACGCCGGCCAGCACCUAAACCUUCGAUCCACUCUCUAAAAAUUUAUUGUUUGGGCUUAUUAGGCUGAAAACUCAUUCAUACUCUGGAUCCAAUCCAAAUUGAGUCCCUACAAUAAUAAUAAUAAUAAUAGUCCAAUAAUUAUAUCUCAAUAUUAUCAUAUUCAAUUUAGAACAAAUUAAAUUUAAAAUUUUACCGUGAAGAAUGUUUGUGAGAAUUUCUUGUCAUACAUAAUAUGAAAGACAUUAUUUAAAGUUUUACCACUAAUGUGAAAUAAUUCAAGUCUUAUAGGCAUCAUCUUGGAGGACAAACCUCUACUUCAUGUUAAUUAGUCUUUUUUAUAAAUUAAGCUGGUUUAGAUUUUCUAUAAAACAUUAAAACUAGAUUAGUCUAAUUUUUAUGGAAUAAUAAUUCUUUUGUCCUAUUUUUUGUUUUUUACUUUAUGCUCUGCUAAUUAUAGAACGUAUAUCAUGUGUUUAAUUUUUUUUUUUUGGUCAUCUUUUUGAGCUUACCUAUGCCUUCUCUCAGUUUUCAAAUUGGCAGCCAUAAGCAUGCGCAUAACACGCACUUAAUUGUUAUAAUUGAUUUUUUUUUGGGUGCUUAUCAUGUUAAUUAAUCUGAAUUUUUUUCUUGAAUAAGAUAUUUAUUUGCAGUAAAAAAACAUGACCGGCCUUUGCCAUCUCGAUCCACAAAACAUGUGUUGCCAAGUCAUCAAGCAUGGAAUAAUUAUCCAAAUUCCACUUUUGUUUUCCUUCUUUCUUUUUCAUUCCCUCACUCUCUCUCUCUCUCUCUCUCUUUUCUUUUUGUCUGUCUUUUUUUUUUCCUCCUGCGGCAACAUCAUAGGCCUCUGUUUAUACUUGACAGUAUAAAAAUUGAUAGACAUUUCCGGUCUUGUGAUCUCCAUAACCAUCUCUUUUGCACAAAAAUAGAAAUUUGUCCUCCAAGAUGUCAAUUAUUAGUUCAUUAACUUCUGAUGAGGAACGUACACUAUUUCUCAGUUUCGAAAAAGAUUUAUACAGAAAAAUCAAGGCAGGUGAGUGGGAUAAGGCUGUUAAUCUCUAUCGGGAAAAUUUUGAAUGGGCUCACGGGAGGCUGCUGAUCAGGAAGCUAGGUGGAACGGUAUUGCAUUUUUCUGUAUCCCACGGCCGAGAUAAAAUUGUUGAGCAACUCGUAGAAAUUUGUGAGAAAAAGGAGCACAAGGAGGUUCUAAAAAUCAGAGACAUGCAAGGAAAUGUCCCUUUGCAUUUGGCAGCAUCAACAGGGAGUCUGAGGAAGUGUAUCUGCAUUGCUGAAGCUGAUACGUCAUUGGGGAAUGCACGUAACAAGGAAGGUGAGAGCCCUCUCUUCUCGGCUGCUAUUCUUGGUAGAACCAAGAUCUUCCUUUGCCUCCGUUCUAUCUGUAAUAACGAACUAGACAGUUCCUACUUCAGAAAAACCGGUGGUGAGACUAUUUUACACUGUGCCAUCAAGAGGAAUUGUUGGGGUGAGCAUUUUAAUUUGUUCAAAGUCACUUCGCCUAUCAAAUAACUUAUGAACUAAUAUUUAACUUUUAGGAAAAAAAUUUGUCAUCUUAUGAUAUUAAUUUUCACUCUCCAAUAAUUUGAUGUCAGAUAUCAUAUAACCAAUAGUUGCUACAUGUAAUAUUUUACAUCAUGAAUAAUCAUGUCUACUUGUAAGAAAAUUUUAGGAUUUAUAGUAUACUGGUGAAAUUGGCUUCUAAUUAUUCAUGAAAAGAAAAAAAAAAAAAAGAUUAAAAAAAGGAAAUUAUCUGCUGAUUGAAUUCUGCUAAAGAAUACCAAUUUUAAACAUUGUUGUUGACAGAUUUGGCAUAUCAGCUACUUCUCCUAAUCCAUUCUAAAAAAAAAAAGCUACUUCUCCCAAACGGUGGACUUGCUACUUCUGUGGACGAGAAACUUGCUACUUUUGUGGACGAAAAAGGAAAUACGCCUCUCCAUUUCUUAGCAGAUAAGCCUUCCGCCUUCAAAAGUGGUUGCCGCCUUGGAUGGUGGAGCAGCGUCAUUUAUUAUUGUAAGUAUUAUCUUGGACAGUAUUAUUGUAAAAAAUAUUAUGUCCACAAUAUUUUUACAACAUUUUUACAAUAAUUUUAUAAUAAAUGUUAGAUUAUAAGUUUUUACUAGUUUUAAUUAAAAUCCAUUAUUGACAUCAUUUUUUUAUCCACUAGUUAAAACUUGUCACUUAUGAUUUGAUAUGAAAUUAUUGUAAGAGAGAUGCUACGUUUACAACAAUUUUACAACAUUUUUACAACAAAUCAUAGGUGGUUAGUUGUUAUUGAUUCAAAUUUGAAACUAACACUAAGAUUACUUUUUUGCCCCAAUAAUAACAAUUAGUAAUAACCUGCUACUUAAGAUUUGUUGUAAAAAUGUUAUAAACAUAUCAUUUCUCUUAUUGUAAAUAUGUUGUGGACAUCUCAUUUCUAAAUUGUCAAGGUGCAAACAUAAGAUUUUGUUAUUUGUUGAAAUCCAAGUUGUACAUACAUUAUGAAAAUUUACCAGUUUAGACCCCAAAUUACGGCUUAUAUCAAAUUCAAACUAAUUUCUUAUUUAAGCCCAAUUGUUAAUACGGUUGGCUAACUGAUAUAUGCAUAUAAAUACACAAACACAAUAGAAAAUUCCAAAACAAUCAUAAGCACUCAAACACCAUAAAAAGUGUUUACGGGGAGAACACUCAAAAUCGGACAAAAAAAUUCUUUGUGGCCUAAAGCACCAACCAAUUCUAUGUGUGUAAGGCUUGGGUCUCCUAUGAUUUGGCAAUUUGAGAGGGUGAAGAUAGAGACUACAAUGGGAUUUUCUCCUAAGGAAAAUGGGUAGCUCUCUCACUCUUCAAUCUAAGAAUUGGGUGUUGUAUCUUCUGAGAUUAGAGGUUUAUAUAUGAGAGGGAUAAUUGGAUGGGUACAAUAAAAAUGGGAGUAACUGAAUUCUCUCAAGUUCGCAAUCUUGCUUGACCAAGGAUCAGACGAGGGUCAGGCAAGAUUGCUAUAAUUGUUUUUCAAAAAUUGCAACUCACUUGACAGCCUUGCCUAUCCAAACUCGCUCAACUGAGAUUUUCAAUGCAGCAAUUUCAAAUCCAGCACUUCAACUUUUCAACUAGUACAAUGUAGUCCACAAAAGUACGAAAUACGUUGAAAUUAAUAGCAUGAAGAUACGUAGAAUUUUGACACAAAAGAAUGUACUUUUGAGUUUUGGCAAAAAAUAUACCAACACAUGAAUCCUAACACAAUACGUGAGAUAUUAAUAAUUACAAUACCAAGGACACCAAAUAUUUCUCGAAAUUAAUGUACUUUUUUUUUUCUUUCUAUUUGUUAAUAGAAACUCAUACACAUCUCUUUCAUCAAAGGAUACUUUGAUUUAUAUCUGUCGCACAACAUAACUUGUCAUUAUCCUCUGUUGUUAUUUGGAAGGUAUAGCGAUUGGUGUGCCCCAAGAAAUCGACCCCAGACAAUUGAUUGAAAUAUGCAAUAAAAAAAAACCCGACUCCAUUCAAUCGCUGUGGACUAUGAUUCGAGUUGGUAAGUGAAAUGAAUCCUUACAUUGAGAAUAACUUAUCUUAAAGAAACUGCAAAUCUAAUGAUAUUACACCAAAUCAAUAAAUUAUGGCAACUAAAGAUUGUUUAAACCUACAUCAGGGGAAUGAAAUUUUGUAAGACCAUUUACAACUCUAGUUUUAGUAGAUACAUGAAAUGAAGAUUUCCGAAUUUUGAACAUUACCUUAAAAUUAAAACGCCCCCUCUGAUAAUAUAAGAAAGAAAAAUAUUGUUUCUCAAAAAAAAAAAAAAUACAACUUUUAUACACAAAUUUGAGUGCUACUUCAGAAAAUAUAAUGGUUAAAAUUUUAGCACAUGCACUGAUACACGAGAAUAAAAAAUUAAUAGGAAGUCCCUCCCACCCCCCUUCUUCUUCUUUUAAAUUGAUCUGUGCGUAACCUAGCAAGUUUCCUUAUUUCUAGUGGUUAUUAUAGGAAACGUAUGUGACAAAGGCAAGAAAGCAGAUGAAGAGAAUCCUGAAAGCUCAAAUGUUAGUCCCAAAUCAGGACAUGAAGGUGAGGAAUGAAAUUGUAUCAAGUGUGUUCUAAUUGCUAAAGAAUCUGUUGGAAAUUGAUGCUCUUCACACACUCACGCUUCCAAUCAUUCUCAAACCACUCAAUAUAUAGAAGAGAUUCAUGCUCACAAAACACACAAAGGGAGAGAGAGUGGAGAGGGAAGAGUAGGAGAACUCUUUAAUACUUGUAUUGCUCUUACUUCAUUCUUGCUUUGAAAUUCAUAGACGCACGGAGUAUAUAUACUCAACAUGACACCCUAACUUGUGUUUAUUACAUAACUCCAAAAAAAAAACUCUCACAUGCAUUUAUUAUAUAUAUAUAUAUUACAUGAAAUAAUGAGGGAAGUAUAUACUUCCCUCUUUAUUUCAUGUAUUUUUUUUUUUUGAAAGAUAUUUCAUGUAUUUUUAAUUCUUAUACUAAUUCAUUUCAUAAAUAAAAAAGAGUUUCCUAACCUAAAUUAAGUUUUAUUGUUAACUUAAACUUAAUUUCUAAUCACUUUGAGUAAGGCACACAAUAGUGGUUAUCAAGAUCUUGAUUCAUAUCUUAUGAUCUUAAAAUCCUAAUUAAGAUACACAUCCUUAAAACAUCUUGAAUCCUUUUAGGAUUUGUAUUGAAGUGGAAUCCUUGUAGGAUCCCUAACUAGGUCUUAGGAUCUAAUAGGAUCGUGAUACCAAAGAUCAUGAGCUAUAAAGAAAACAUCAAUAUUUAAAAUAAAAUAUAAAUAAAUAAAUAAAACUUAUUUCAGGCCUCCAAAUGGAACCCAAAGGCCCCAAAUUGAUUAAAAAACAUAAUAAAUAGAUCAGCCCAGUGGCCCCAACCCAAAUUGAUAAAAAAUAAAAUAAAAUAAAAAUAAAACGCUCUAAGUCUCAUCUCACCCUAAUCUAAUCGACAAAAUCACAAAAAAUAGAAGAGAUGAGAAGAGACUAGAGAGUUGAAUGCAAGUGUGAGAAGGAUAAAGAAAUUCAUGCUAUUAGUGAUGCAUUUGAGUUUGAUAAUGCCAAUGAAAAUGAAGUGAAUGAACCUCCAAAUACAACAUUAAGAGAUUUUGAUGAUUAUACAAUGGAUAAUUCGGGCCAUGUGGCCGCUAACUAUGAUGAGAAUAUUGUUUAUAAUGAUCAACCCUAAUUUAAGGAACCCAAUCAAGAUAACCAAAAUUUUUGUCUUGAUGAUUGAGUGUGUUUGUGGUAUUGUUUGAAAUAUCAUUAUUUGCCUUGUGUUGUUUAUGUGAGAUAAUAUGUAUAUUCAUGGUAUUAAAACUUAGAACUUGGUAUUUGUAAGUUGUAACUUUAAACUUUAUUUAUGUAUUUUUAAUUUGGUGUACUUUGCCUUUUAUUAGUAAUUUGUAUAAAAAAAGACUACUUGUGUUCAUUGUUUAUUUAACAUAUAUUAUGAAUUAUAAUUAUAAAUAUUUUUUAAUAUAUAUUUUUUAAUUGGAAAGUAGGCUCUAAUGAUCCUUGUGCCGAUCCUAUGAUCCAGUCCCCAAACCCUCUCACUAAUCCUAUGUAGGGUCUCAGUCCUGAUGUAGCAUAUAGAAGAUAUCAUACUACUCCACAUGCAACCAUAACUUCAUGUAUUUUAAAUAACUCCAAAAAAACUCUCACAUAGUCACGUGAAUUAAUUAUAUAAAUUUUGAUAAAUUACUCAUUGUAUUAAAAGUUUAAACUAUUAGAAAAUUGUGAAUUUAAUCACUUAAUUAUAAUUUUAACAUUCUCCCUCACGUGUGGACCCAAACUCACUUUCCCUUAAUAAGUGGUAUCCAACAUGUGGGAUUUUUAACAUUUUUAAAUGGAAGGGAAAGUAAAGAUAGAUUUAAGAUUUUGUACUCUGAUAUUAUGAUAAAUUAUCAAUUGUUUCAAAAAUUUAGUUAUUAGGAAAUUGUGAGUUUAAUCACUUAAUUAUAAUUCCAACAAACUUCCCUUGUUAUUUUAUUGUGUUACUAAGUGUUAAUUUGAAAAUCUAAUGAUUCUCAAAACCGGAAAACAAAUAAAUAAAUAAAAAAUUCCAGAAAAUCUAAAGUACAAAUACAAAGUUACAAAGUACUAUACCUAAUUUUUAUACUUUAGCUUAUUUGAUUAUUUUUAAAGAAAUAAAUAUAUAAUAUAAAAUAAGUAAAUAAAACUUUAAUUUUUAAGGUACAACUAUAUUUUAACAAAUUUUCAGCAAAACAACAGCAUCCACAUAGAAGCUAAAUCUACUAAUAAAUCUUAUUAUUUGCACAUUAUAAUGAGCUGAUUUUAUUUUGUGAAGGAUCCCAAGCCAAAAGUGAAGAUCAAAAGCAUUAUUGGUUUUGGAAAUAUUGUUGCGCCCCCAUUAUGAUUAUCAAAAUUGUUUGCAGAACAACAGUGUACAUUCUUGGAUUUGGUACACAUUCUUUUUACUUUUUAUACUUGCCCUAUUUUCUGUUUCUCCAUUUUUUCUCUCUCAAAAAUAAAUAAAUAAAAUUGUCACGUAUGUACUUUUCAUUCACACUGUUGAGUGCACAAGAAGUAACCACUGUAAAUAUGUUCAUGUAACUAUGUGUACAUUUAUAUUUUUACCUGUUCAUAAUAUAGUAUUCUCUUGUAUGAUUCUGAGGAUCAGAGGAGAUAAAGAAGAUAAAAAAGACGCACAUGUUGUCGGUUGAGAUCAUGAAACUUGUAAAAGUAGAACAGUACUCCGAGAGAGGGAGAAACCCUUUACUGAGUGAAUAUGAAAAUGAUUUCAAUGAUCGUGAUUUGGACUGUAGCUUACGACCUUCAGUAGAAAUGUGGAAGAAUUCACAGCCACAGGUAAAUGAAGAGACAUCCAUAUUGUCUGCGGCAAAAAAUGGUAUCAUAGAAAUGGUUGAGGGAAUACUAGAUAGGUAUCCGAUGGCUAUCCAUGACGAAACAAGGAAAGGGAAAAAUAUAGUGCUGUUGGCAGCGGAGUACAGACAAACACAAGUAUAUGAGCUAUUCCGCAAGGGCAAAUUUCAGAAACAAAGCUUAAAAACUGGACAACGAAGGGAAUAGUGCAUUGCACCUUGCAGCCACACCAAGUGAGCAGAAGUCUGGACUAAUUCCUGGGCCUGCAGUGCAAAUGCAUUGGGAGAUCAAGUGGUAUGAGGUAUGAACCAAAGAGUACCAAAUCUUUUUUUUUUUUUUUUAAUAAAUAAUCAAAAUUAUUGAUCAAAGAAACAAAGAUACAAACACCAAGUCACUAAUCCACGGCCGAAACCUGCUAGGCUGCUACUCAUGCAUCACAGGGACCACACCACCCUAACAACAUACUAUGCCUUGUUCUAAUAGUAAAAAUAAAUAAAUAAAAAAUAAAAAAUUAAGACUCUCCAGUUUGUUACAACAGCUUACAUAGAAUUUCACUAUCAUGACCCCAUUUAACCAGCCCAUAUCAAUUCCCACCAGUCAUCCUAAUUUCAUUCGAAGUCAAGGAGAUUUCGAAAUCAACUGAUGGAAAACGAUUUCAACAGAUAAGAGUAAUCUGUGAUAACCCAGCUUGGAAAUUCGCUAUUAUCUAUUUAUCUUGCUAGACGGCUAUGCCAAGAACCCUGUUUUAGAAUACUGGAAACUUUAGCAUUCAAAUCACUUUCAGCAUUAAAUAUUAAUCAGGGACAAACUUGGGCAAUAACGCACAUUUUGGUUAUUUUAGGUCUUGGCUUUAGAUAUAAAGGGAAAAUUAUUAGGUACUCUUAGAAUAUCAUAAAUGCAUACUCCCUCAUUUCACAUAAAUAGUGGAUCCUACCAUGAUUUUAAUUAGUGAAACUCACUAUUUAUGUUAGAAGAGAGAAUACGCAUUUAUAAUAUUUCAGGAGUACACAAUAAUUUCCUGAUAUAUAGAUUCUAGAUCAAAUGUUCAAAUUCACAACCUUAGAUACAAUGAAAGAACAAUUAUUCCUCUUUUAUAUUUUUUAAAUUUCACACAUUAUUUAUGUCGCAAAAUAAAUGCAUAUAUUGUAAAUUUGGAACUUUAUAUAAUCUCUAAAUUUUUUUUAAUUAAAAAAAAAAAUCAAAUUGAAUAAGAUUCUUGUUACAAGUUAUAUCACUUUUAUCCUCCAAUAUAAAGUAAAUGAGAUUUUUAAAAAACCACUACAUUUUUAUCUUUCAUUUUAAUAGUAGUUAUAUCAUUUCAAACCCACAAACAUAAAUUACACUACAAAAAAUGCGCAGUGGGGCUGCGUUUUGGAGCUGCGUUUUUUAAAAACGCAGCUUCAGGGUACUGUUUAAGCUGCGUUUUUCAUAGACGCAGCUUCAGAGUACUGUUUGAGCAGCGUUUUAGAAAAACGCAGCUCCACCAUUGGAUAUAUAGCUGCGUUUACUAAAGAAAACGCAGCUUUAGACCUAUCCGGAGAUUUUUUUUUUUUCUUUUUUUUAAUAUAUCCUAGAGCUGCGUUUAAAAAACGCAGCUUGAACUAAAAUAGAGCUGCGUUUAUUAAAACGCAGCUUAAAAACGUCUAGAGCUGCGUUUAAUAAACGCAGCUUAAACAUUUAUAGAGCUGCGUUUGAUCAAACGCAGCUCCAGGUAUGUUUAAGCUGCGUUUAAUCAAACGCAGCUCUAAGAUUGCUAUAAAUCGAAAAAAAUCCUAAAUUUCAACACAGACCCGAUACCUUUGAAAAAAAUUAUCUGCUCUCUCAACCUAGCUCCCCGAUCCCUAAUCCUGUCGUCGUGCCCUCACAACCUCUCGCCGCCGUGCUCUCAAACAACCUCAUACACCCAUCUCAUCACGCGCAGAAUCCGAUCCCUCUCCAUUUUCUCCCUCUGCAUUUCUGGCACUUCCCCGCUCUCCGCCAUUGCCUCUCUCAACCCAUGCGUCGUCAUCCUCUCCGGCGAACCCCACUCCGUCCACACCUCCGAUUCCCCUUCGUUUCUGCCUGAGUUCCCCGAAUGGGCCGAGGCCAACGACGUCGUGGUUUUGGGGAUUUGUUAUGGGCUGCAGCUCAUUGUUCAGAGGCUCGGCGGCGAGGUCAGGGUUGGAAAGAAGCAGGAGUAUGAGAGGAUGGAGAUUGGGGUGGAGAAGAGCGCCACGCUUUACGGGUCGAAACGAGUUGGGGAUAGNNNNNNNNNNNNNNNNNNNNNNNNNNNNNNNNNNNNNNNNNNNNNNNNNNNNNNNNNNNNNNNNNNNNNNNNNNNNNNNNNNNNNNNNNNNNNNNNNNNNNNNNNNNNNNNNNNNNNNNNNNNNNNNNNNNNNNNNNNNNNNNNNNNNNNNNNNNNNNNNNNNNNNNNNNNNNNNNNNNNNNNNNNNNNNNNNNNNNNNNNNNNNNNNNNNNNNNNNNNNNNNNNNNNNNNNNNNNNNNNNNNNNNNNNNNNNNNNNNNNNNNNNNNNNNNNNNNNNNNNNNNNNNNNNNNNNNNNNNNNNNNNNNNNNNNNNNNNNNNNNNNNNNNNNNNNNNNNNNNNNNNNNNNNNNNNNNNNNNNNNNNNNNNNNNNNNNNNNNNNNNNNNNNNNNNNNNNNNNNNNNNNNNNNNNNNNNNNNNNNNNNNNNNNNNNNNNNNNNNNNNNNNNNNNNNNNNNNNNNNNNNNNNNNNNNNNNNNNNNNNNNNNNNNNNNNNNNNNNNNNNNNNNNNNNNNNNNNNNNNNNNNNNNNNNNNNNNNNNNNNNNNNNNNNNNNNNNNNNNNNNNNNNNNNNNNNNNNNNNNNNNNNNNNNNNNNNNNNNNNNNNNNNNNNNNNNNNNNNNNNNNNNNNNNNNNNNNNNNNNNNNNNNNNNNNNNNNNNNNNNNNNNNNNNNNNNNNNNNNNNNNNNNNNNNNNNNNNNNNNNNNNNNNNNNNNNNNNNNNNNNNNNNNNNNNNNNNNNNNNNNNNNNNNNNNNNNNNNNNNNNNNNNNNNNNNNNNNNNNNNNNNNNNNNNNNNNNNNNNNNNNNNNNNNNNNNNNNNNNNNNNNNNNNNNNNNNNNNNNNNNNNNNNNNNNNNNNNNNNNNNNNNNNNNNNNNNNNNNNNNNNNNNNNNNNNNNNNNNNNNNNNNNNNNNNNNNNNNNNNNNNNNNNNNNNNNNNNNNNNNNNNNNNNNNNNNNNNNNNNNNNNNNNNNNNNNNNNNNNNNNNNNNNNNNNNNNNNNNNNNNNNNNNNNNNNNNNNNNNNNNNNNNNNNNNNNNNNNNNNNNNNNNNNNNNNNNNNNNNNNNNNNNNNNNNNNNNNNNNNNNNNNNNNNNNNNNNNNNNNNNNNNNNNNNNNNNNNNNNNNNNNNNNNNNNNNNNNNNNNNNNNNNNNNNNNNNNNNNNNNNNNNNNNNNNNNNNNNNNNNNNNNNNNNNNNNNNNNNNNNNNNNNNNNNNNNNNNNNNNNNNNNNNNNNNNNNNNUUUAAUUUCAAUUUUUGUCUAAGAUUCCCAAAUGCAUCAAGCUGAGUCCACCUCUACAUGAGAGGAAGAGUGUAUACUCCCAUAAUAUACAAUAACAACUCCAAUGAAGUGAAAUGAGGGUUAGGGUUGUGUUUGGCUUAGCCGAAAGAAAGGAGAACAGAUUUGGAGCUUGGCGAGAAUAAAGGGCAGUUUUCAUAAGCAAGUUAACGUUCAGGCACGAGGCAAAAGGCCCGCGAACGAAUUUGAUUACAAAUUAGUUACACACGUAUGAAUUCCAUGACACGUGUAUUCGGGGGCUAAUGCUUAAUUGGAUAGAUGUUAAGGGAAUUUAUGUUUGGAUAACAAAACAAAUAGGCCCAAGGCUAAUCGGCCUAUUUACCGACAAAAUCCAGCUUAGAUUAUAGACAAGGCCGUGCAAGGUAGUUUUGACUUAUGAGAUUGACUCAAAAUGGGCUUAAAUAAAGCCUAUACCGUGACCACAAAGUUCGGCUUUCGUCCAAGACAACAAACAACAACAGCACAAUUGGAGGCCCACACAGUAGCCCAAAAGAAAGGAGGGAUCAUAAACAUGAGUUAUGGAUGUCAUAAGCAAAAUGAAUAACAAUGAUCUGGUCCAAACUCUUCGGAUCUAGUACCAUGCAUAUUAAAAUAUUUAGUAUUCUAAAUAAAAAUAAAUAAAUAAAUAAAAGGUUGGGCUAAGCUAAUAAUAUUGGCUUAUACGAAGCUCCUUUUUUUUUUUUUCUUUUUUUUUUCUUUUUUUCUUUUUUUCGGCUAAGCCAAUAAUAUUGACCCAAUAUCUAGGUUAUUUCUCCCUUUUUUAGAUUCUAAUUAAUUACAUUCCGAUUCCAAUUUGUUGUUAAGUGCCUUAAUAUUGAAAUGCAAGGAUCCGUCAAAGAUAAAUGGAGGUGUAGGGACAAAGUUAAAAAUCUGCCCAAGGGAACCUCUAGGAGAAAAUAUGAUGAGGCUCAAAUCUUUCAGAUCACAGAUCAAACAACGAGAGAGCAAAAGGAAACGUCAAAUUCACUCAUCACUUUAUCACUAUGGUCCAUCAUUUUUCUCUGAACUUAAAACCAAAGUGAAAUUACAAUUUUUUCAAAAAUACUGAGAUAGGAUUUAAGUUUGGUUCCUUUUUUUUUUUUUAAGGUCACGUCACAUGGCAGCACAUAUGAUAUAAUUUUUUUUUUUUUAAUAUCCACGUUAAUUACAUCAAUUUUGACACAAUAUGAAAAAGUUAAUGAACUAAACUAACAUGUUAAAAAUGUUAAAAACCAUUUUAACACAUACGGCAACCAUUGGGGACCAAAAUAAUAACUUACUCUCACUACAAAAAAACUGUACUAUUGUGACGGGCCAAAACCGUCGCAAAGCCCAAAAAACUGCCACUAAAGGUCUACCUAGCUUAUUGCGGCGGGGGCUAUUGCAGCAGUUCUACCCACCAUUGUUGUGGUGCCACUAUAGAUCUGUUGCGGCAGUCACAAAAAGCGCCGCAAUAGAUCGCCCAUUUAGCAGCACUUUUGCCCUAUUGCGGCAAGCAGAAAACCAUCGCCAUAUGAAGUUACCAUUCAGGUCAAAUGACCCUUUAGCGGUGGGCAUUAAGCGCCAUUAUAGGGUUUAUUAAAUAAUAGACUAUACGCAACUUUUAGCAGCGAUUACUCUCGCCGCUAUAUGUGUAAGGCUUUAGCAGCGGGCUAUAAACGCCGCUAUAGGUUUCCAAUUAUUUCGUAAUUUUAGUCCUUCAGCAGUGUUUUUUGCUCGCCGCUAUAGGUUAAUUUUUUUUCCCUCUUGCGUUCUAAAACCACAUUUCUAUUACAAAUAACCUGUAACAAUUUUAGCUCCACUAAGACAUUACCACAAAUGUAACUUGAUAACACCACAAAUGUCUUCAAAUAGGGCUGUAAACGAGCCAAGCUCGAGCGAGUAGUGCCUGUUUGAGCUUGGCUCAUCGAUAAAAAUAAAAUGCUCAAGCUUGGCUCGAGCUUGAGACAAGCUUAAAUAUAAUGUUUGAACUCGAGCUCGUGGGAAAACCCAAAAGCUUGAGCUCAGCUUGGCUUGGCUUGAUAAAUUAAUCAAGCCAAGCUCGAGCUUAACAUUAAGCUCAAACUCAAGCUCAAGUCAAGCUUUUUUGCUCAAGAUCUAACAAAAUUGCAUUAUCAAGUGCUCAAAUCUCCAACAAUCAAGUAAACAAAAAUAAGAAAAUAAUAUACUCUUUUGUUCAUGCUUCUAAUUCCACUUGUGAUUAGCAAUUACUCAAAUUAAAGCUUUACAUAAUUAAAUCUACCCAUUCCAACUACAUACCAGGCUCCACAACCACAAUCCACUAAUUACAAAGUUAAGUUAUUAUCAACGAAUUCAACCAACAAAGAUUUUUCUAAGUUAUAUAGAAAUUUCAUAAACAAUCAUAACUUGGAAAUCAAAACGAUUUUGCAAUAUCAAACAAACUACAGUGCAAACAACUAUAAAAGUAUAUAGAAAAUUUUUAAACAUGAAAAUUUACCUAUGGUGAGAGAAGGCUAUGAAUGUCCUGGAGGAUGGAGGUAGAAAGUCAAAUACUACACCGGAACUAGAGCUAUUGUCGGAGCUCUUUGCACACCCAUUAGAACCCUUAAAUUACAUGGUGAUUCGGUGAACACCGGACUCUAAAUCCUCUUUGCUAGAAUCUAACUCUUCCAAAUCUAGGACUUGUUCAUUUGUUGCAAAGAGAUAUAGGGCAGAUUUGGUGGAAUUUCUUGGCCUCACGAGAGAGAGAGAGAGCUGAUCAAUUCAAACCUUGAGAAUUUGGGGAAGAGAAAGAAACUGAUAAUAGAGAGAAAGAUUAAAGCUUCUCAAAGAAGCUUCAGUCUUUCCAAGAAAGCCUAAGAGUUUUAGGCUGCAGACUGCAUAGGACAGAAAUGGACUUAAUUGAGUGACAGCCGAGAAUUUCAGUUUGAAUGAAACUGAAUUGGGUUUUUUUUGUUCAAUGAUAGUUUCGAUAGAGAGAACUCAGAGAAGAAACUAAACUAGUAAACUGACUUGGGUUUUUUUUUCGAUGGAAAGACCGAAACUAAACUAGUAAACUAACUAGUAGAGAGAACUCAAAUGGAAAGGAUACUUAGCAUUACUUUUAUUUACUUUACUUAGAAAAUGACUAAACUAGUAAACUGGCAACAAAGGGACACCUAAGGGCUAAGAUGGUGAAGUCCAACUGUAUGCAUGAAGUACUAUUGUACUGGAGAACUCUAAAAGAGUAGAAGUGGAAACUGAAAAGUCUAGAAAAAGCAAGAAUUCCGGUCUUGUUUUAUUCAUUUAUUUUAUUUGCUAAAAAUGUUUAUAAAAAAUAAAAAUAAAAAUAAAUAUAAAAAAAGAAAGAAAGAAAAAAACUUAAAGUAAUGGGUACUAAAAGUGGUCUCACGUGGAAAAUUUUAUUAUUAAAAUAUGUGUAAUGUAAAAAUAUUUAGUUUAUUUAGCAAAUAUAUACCAAGCCUUUUAUGAAGCUGCACACAAGCUUAAGCUUGGCUUGUGCUAAGGCUCAAGCUUGGCUUAUUUAUAAACAAACAAACAUGAAUGAGCUUUUUAUUGAGACGAGCUCAAGUUGUUCACAAUCAGCUUGGUUCGUUUACAGCCCUAUCUCCAAACUAACAUUAUAUUAAUAUAGAAAUAUAUUAUCAAAUACAUAACAUUGUCUAUAACCAUCAUCAAAGUUCCAAGCUAAUACCACAAUCAAAAUUCCAAAGUAUUUAAACAAUCAAUCAAGUCCCACCAAUAUGAAAUUAAGAUUAAGUAAACAAAUGGCAAAAUUUGCAAACCAAAUGGAUUUAUGGUAGGAAGGUAGCAAGAUCACAUAAACUAAAGGCCCUCACCUUGAUAGCAUACUUCCUCAUGGGGAACUACAUCUCCUUCUUCUUCUCCCUUUCAUUCUUCAAUGAUGCCUAUGCAAACAAAAAGAAAGUAAAAUAAAUCAGGCAAUAGCCAAGCCAAACACCCCAAGCACAAAUAUAAACAUGUUAAUGGGACAAGACUAUACAAGUACACAACGCAAAAUGUAAACCCUUCUUAUUUUCUCAACAAGCUAUGAACAGCUAAAAGGUGAAAAAACCUAUACAACAUUAGUCCUACAAUAAUUCACCCAAAAUGUUCCAAAACUUUAUGGCAAUUCCAAUUUAACAUUUUUCAGUUACCCCAUAUUUAAUUACAUAAACAAACACACAAAAAAUUUUAAAAACUAUCACAAUAGAUGAACCAAAAUUGGAAAUAGCAUACCCAAUAAAGUAAAAAGUAACAAGCAUAAAAAAAUGCAUAUAUGAAUCAAACUCGCAAACAAACAUACCUGGCACUUGGUAAGCCUUCUCCUAAUGGCCCUAGUCUUCUUGGUAAGCCAAUCUUGUAAUAGUUGACAUGUACCAACAAUACAAACAAUUAGUCUGAUCUUAACAUAGCCAAGUCUCAAAUAAUUGCAUUAGAACAUAAUGAAUUCUUUAAGAAAUUUCACACAAACAUUGAGAUAUAAUUUUAAGGAGAAGAAACUAACCAGAGAGAGGUUUUGAAACUCUAAUCAUUAAGGCAAAAUAUAAUGAGUGAUAACAAAAGUAUUAUAUACACUCAUCAUCACUAGACUAAUUCAUCGCUAAACUCUUCAUUAUCGAUAAAGUCUUGUUCAAGCAAUUCAUCUUCACUGAUCAACGGUGUAUCAUAAAUGGUUCCUUCUUCAUUAACUCGAGCCCAAGCAUGGCUGUCAUUUGCAUCAUCACAUGCAUCAUCAUUAGUUAUAUUAUAAGUAACAUUCUCAAGAUAGGUACCCACUUUAUCAUCAUCAUCAUGUGAAGCAUUAAUACCAACAUCAAACACCUCCCUAGGUUUUGUUUUAACCACCACCGCCCAAUCAUUAUGUCUCACAUCUUCCACAUAAAACACUUGUAAAGCUUGAGAUGCUAAUACAUAAGACUCAUCAAUCAAUUAAUCACCCGUGUGUAUCAAUCGUGAAAAAUUGACAAGGGAAAAUCCGAACUCAUCUUUUUUGCAUCCUCUCCCACUAAUAACGUCAACCCAUUGAUAUUUCAAUAGUACAUAUCAAUAUUUGUUAAAGUAGUUCAACUCAAUAAUAUCGAUUAAUACACUAUAAUAAGUAGCACCGCCUUCAAUAACAACACAAACUCCACCGUUUUGAGUUUUCCUAACUGCCUUAGAGUCUUCGGUGUGAAACUUCAAAUCAUUUAUAACAUAACACUUGAACUAUUUUGCUUCAUUAUCUAGAUAUCGAGCAAGCCAUAUGACUUUAUCAGAGAGUUUCUUUUUCUCUGAUGCAUCCAUUGACAUCACCUAUAAUAGACAAUAACAUUUAUUAUAAGUAUUCUAUCUAAAGUGUUACAACCAAGUUUUAUAUAUAGACAUUGACAUCACCUAUUAUAGACAAUAAAGUUAUAUAUAUAUAUAUAUGUUUUACUUACAUAGUUCCUAAACCAACUGCAGAAUUUUUCCAAGUGUUGCUUUUGAAUAACAUCAUCGUUUACAUAAAAAUGGGAAUUAUCCUUAAUCUUCACUAUGUGUACACUAUGUAGACAAAUGUGUUAGUGUCAACUUAGAGUAUUGUACUUGAAUGUCAUGAACGGAUACGCAAUGACAUAUUACUUACUCGUGAAAUAGGGUGAUUUCUUCAUAAUUGAAUAGCACAUAAAUAUGUGCUUGGAUCCAUGAAUUUGAAUUUAGUAUUAUAAUGCUUACCACCGCACCCAUGGAUUUCUUGACAUUCUUUACAGGCCAAUUGAAUGCAGUUUCAAUAGAUUUAAAAUAGCAUGAGCAGAAUGCUAGGCAUUCCUCUGCUAUAUACCCUUCUGCAAUUAAGGCUUCUAGAUAAGUUUUAUUAUACACGUACGAAUUAAGUCUUGACAAGUAACUAUUGGAAAAUCCAAGAUCAACAACUAGAAAUUGAUAAGUUAAGCAAAACCAAAUAGACCAAGUUAACAUAUGUGUUACCUCUCUAUGGAAUACAUCCAAUGAUAAUGAAUUAGGCCACCAACUUUGGCUUCACUAGCCAAAUGCAUGAUUAGAUGUACCAUCACUAUAAAGAAAGAGGGAGGGAAUAUCAUUUCCAAUUUACACAAUAUCAAUGCAAUUCUUUCUCUAGAGCCCCAAGUUCCUCCAUAUUUAAUACUUUGGAGCAUAUCUCCCUAAAGAAACAAGUCUAUUAAAUGCCUACUCACUUCAGGGGGAAAAGAUCCACGUAUUGCUAUUAGAAAAGUUAUUGCAUUAAGAUGUGAUUAUCAUGGCUCUUCAUCCCACUAAUCUUGCGUUCUUUGAGUUUAACGUAACAUGAGAUGUUUGAAGAGUAUCCAUUUGGCACUCUUACAUCCUUCAAAACUUACUGAAAACUAUCCUUUUCACAAGCAUUCAUAUGGUAGCAGGCAUGUGGCAUACAUGUCUGAUCAUUCCCAACUUUUUCCAAGUGAAGUUCACUUCUUAUACCCAUAUCCUUUAAGUUUGACAUGUUUUUAAGUUAUCCUUUGUCUUGUUAUCCAAGUUCAACAAUGUGACGAUUAUAUUAUCGACUACAUUCUUUUCAAUAUGUAUCACAUUAAGAUUAUGAUGCAGCACAUGGUGCUCCCAAUAAAGGAAUGUGAAAAAUAUACUUCUCUUCUUCUACAAAGUUAAGGCUUCCUCCUCUCUUAUUCUUUUAUUAGGCAAAUUAACUGUUUUCUUUCCAAACACACAAUCGACUACAACAUCUGUUUGUAACAUGAUUUCUCCUCUGAAUACUGUAAUAGGAGCUAAUCUCGUAUCAACAUACCUAUCAAAUGAAUUUUUCUACUUACGAAAUUUAUGAUCACUAUCCAAGAAUCGCCUAUGUCCAAUGUAACUAAAUUUUUUUCUAUACCUUAACCAACGAGACUAACUAUCAUAGUUACAAGGGAGACAUGUAAGAGCACCUUUAGUGCUCCAACCCAAGAUAUCACCAUAUGUAGGAAAAUCAUUUAUGGUCCACAACAAUGUAGCAUGCAUUUGGAAUGAUUUUUUGGAAGACACAUCAAACGUUUCUACUCCAACAUCCCAUAACUCCUUCAGUUCUUCUACUAAGGGUUGCAAGUACAUGUCUAUAUCGUUCUCGGGUGAGGUUGAACCGGGAAUUAAUAAUGAUAGCAUGAAAGAAGACAUUUUCAUGCACAUCCAUAGAGGGAGAUUGUAUGGGAUCAAAAUGAUAGGCCAUGUACUAUGAGUACUAUUCAUAUUUUCGUACAGGUUGAAUCCAUCAGCUACUAAUCCAAGCCUCACAUUACGAGGCUCGGAUGAGAACUCUAUAUACUUAGAGCCAAAUGAUGUCCAAGCUUCAGAAUUAGUAGGAUGCCUUAGUAACUCGUCAUUCACACAACCAUUGGCAUGCCAUUUCAUAUGAUUGGCUGUUUCAGAAGACAUAAAUAAUCGUUACAAUCUUAGCUUUAAGGGGAACCACCAUAGGAUCUUUGUAGGUCCCUUCUUUUUUUCUCCUUGGAGGAAGCAUUAGUACUUUAUUGACCUUUAGACUUAUUACUUUCCCAUCUUGAACAGUUACAGUUCGGACUGCUUGCUCACUCCCAAGUGCAAGAGAUCGUAGCAAUAUAAUUCUCGGAGUACCGAGGUCGAACCACAUGGAGCAAGGUAAAUUCAAAGACAAUAUAAUUAAACAGUAAUUUGGGUGAAGAAGAAAAAUACUUUUGCUUGGUGAUUGUUAACAAGAAUAAUAAUAAAAACUAAUUUAAAUCAAUAAUGUAAAUACUAGGGCAUCGGGGUGUUUCCCUAUAUCGAUAUGAAAUUCUUUGUGAUCUAAGAAAAUAUAUAUUUCAUAAUUGAUUGUUCUUAUACAAUUAAAAACUUAUGAUUCGGUUGAACUGAGACAAUUCAAGAACGCAUGAUAACCUCAAUUAAUAAUGCAGUUAGAAAAGUUUUCAGAAAAACCCAUUCACUUUAAAACAUGAUUUCUAUUUGAAACUAUUAGAAAUUCCUCUAAACAAUAAGAAAAACAUGAUUGAACUUAUUGAAAGUAUGGAAGAACUAAUACAUCAAAAGAAAUCUAAUUGAACAAUCAAAUAUGUCAUUGAUAAAAUCCUAGAAAGAAUCACAUUGAAUAUUCAUACCGUAGAGAAGAAACAUAACCCCUAACCCUAGCAAAGAGUUUAGGCUGCCAUUAGAGAAAGAAAAAUACAAGGUUUUCUUUGCCAAAAUUCGUUCUCACCACCUCCCUUCUAAAACCCUAAUGUCUAAGUAUCCAAAGAAAAUAAAACUUUUCACUAUUUAAAUUUUCGUCCAGGUUUACAGUAGUAACUUGUGAGUUAAUUUUGGCCUUCAAAAAUUGAUAAUUUCGAAAAACUCAAAACUGGAAAGUUGUAGAUAUUUAAGUCACGGUUCUAACCCAUCCAGUCUUGUGUCAAUUGAAUUUUUGAGUAGAGAGAUACGCCCAAAAUACUGAUCAGUGCUCAAAUCAGAUUUUUCAUUUUCAGAUUCUGCCUCUUUGAUUUCUUUCCUUAUUUGAAGCUUCCAAUCGUGUUAGAUGAUCCAAGCACUCCAGCUGCACCUCCUUAGACAUUUAGGCAUGGUCCUUUAGCUCCACUUUAAUUCUAGUUUGGCCUCCAUUAUCUUUCUCACAUGAUUUCCUGAAAGUAGAAAAUUACACACAAUGAAUAGCAUCUUAUUCAAGAAAUUAUGUAAAGAUAAAUAAUAGGGACUAAUACAAAUCAUGGCUUAAUUAUACAAAUUCAGCAUAGUAAUAAGGAGAUAACGCCCACAUAAAUAUAUAACAAGUACACAUUUUAAGGCGUUAUCACGGACAAGAUUCAAGGUUGGCAUUCUCCUUCCAAUAUAAAAUACAAUCUUUAGGACAAGCAUGAAUCUUCUCAUAGCUCAAGCCCAAAUCCUUAAUAAUCUUCAUAGCCUCAUAACAAUCUUUUGGCAACUUAGCAUUUGAAGGAAUAAAAUCAAGCAAAAAUUGUAGUAACAUGGUAAAUAAUUUGUUGGUCCCAUUUCAUUUGGUACAAAUGCACAAUAACUGACAAUUUGCUAAAAUGCUUACAAUCUUCAUAACAAGGUUGAUUAGUAAUAAUGCAAAAAAUCAACAGUUGAGGUCCUCGUCAUAGUAAAUGGACGAUAUUGUGGAUGAGGUCAUCUCUGUAGGUGAGAAUCUUGCAGAAUGAACUGAAGGGAAGAGUAACACGUCAGUGUGGCAUCAGCCAAACCAUCUCCUAUGCUUAAGACAGUAAGGGAGAAAGAUUCUAGAGAGAAAAUGAGUUGAGAGUGAUUUCGUAGAGUCUUUGUGUGUACCUUUAGCUUUUGUUGUCUUCUCUUUGUUUGGAGAUCACAGCUCAUUUUGUGACUAUUUCUCCGUCCGUUACAUUUCGUCAUUAAUGUUCGUAAUAAAUGUGUCACAUCUUAUCUAGGUGAAUGACGAUCUAUGUGAAGUGACGAUGGUAAUUUUCUGGUUCAUCAACUGCCCCUUGUUCAUUUUCUCGUCUUUCAGACGAGAUAAGAACAAAUUCGUCUAACCUUUUGUAUUCCAUGUACUGCGCAUUUAUGACGAUUUGGUGCAUGGGUGGUUGGGCGCCACGUGUACGUCUAGGAUGUGUUCGAUGUGUGAACAUGUCUCAGUUUUCCCGUGUGAGUUUCGACCACUUGUUUUGCAUUUUUCCCUCCUCUUCCUUUUUUCUGUGUUUUUCCUUAUUCAACUUCCUAUUCUAGGGUUUGUCUUCUCCUCUGAGCUUCAUCUCUCUGUCCUACAUUUCCUAAUAAGUCCCUUGCACUUCUUCUUUUCUGAUUUUUCCAUGGUAGAUUAUUCUGUUGUUAGAGUAGAUUGUCCUUCGAUAGCUUUCUUUUUCGCUUACUUAGGUAGUUUACUUAAGUCCGUAGAGGGAGAGUGUCUUGAUAGGGUCUUCGUAGAAGAGGACUGUCCAUAUACUUCUGUCCUUACUUCUUUGUUUCCUUUAGUUUCCCAUUCUACUGAGGUAGCUAGGUUACUAAAGAUGUCCAGGUAAGAUCUAGUGACUUGGAGAUGGGGUUACCCUUGUUUGAUGAUCGUGUGGUCUCAGAUGCCACUUCUAUUUCCACCCCUUAUAAAACUUGGAAAAUUUCGUGUUCCCUUAUGAGGAAGGACGAAUAGCGAAUUAUAGACAAAUUUCAGUUCCCUAAUUCUGUAAAAAUUAGUAUCCCAAGUGACGAAGAGAGGGCUUGUCACUUGUAUGCUGAUAAGGUUUGCUACUAUAAGGCAGACUUUACCAGUGGUCUUCGUUUCCCUGCUUAUCUCUUUGUUAGGGAACUUUUUUCUUACCUGCAUCUUGCUUCGGCACAGUUGGUACCUAAUUCUUGGCAAAUCCUUGUUUCUUGCAUGGUGGUGUGGAUGUCCACCAAUGAUGGUGAUGUUAUUAGGGGGGACGAAUUCCACCACUUUUAUCGUCUUAGAAAAUCCAAAGACCCUAGCUAUUAUGAGUUCAAACCGUGGGAUAGGGCUUCUAGGUUAAUUCUUUAUUACCCCUCGUCUCUUCGAAACUGGAAGCCAAAUUUCUUUUUUGUCUUUGGAAGUAGUUGGGAGUUCGUCCUUGGUGAGGACUUGGACGAAGCCCCUAAAUUUUUUCAUAGUUGGGGAGUUCUUGUGUCUGGUGCGUCUUUUCAGUUGUUUUUCUCUUUUUUCCUGAGUGACAAUGAUAAAUGACUUACUUGCACUUUUACUUUGCAGUUUCCCAGCAUCCUUGUCUGAAGAGAGAUACCAGCGUCGUGCUGAGAAAGUGAAGGAGUAUCUUGAGUCCGUCAAGGAUUUUAAUGAACUUGUUUCCCUUCAGUCUUUGUUUUUACAUUUUUUUGGGUCUAGAACCAUCUACCAAGGUUUAGAAAAAUUUGGAAGUUGUGAGAAAGAGUACGUAUUUCUACCCUCUUCUUUCUUUCUUUCUUUGUUUCUUCUUCUUCUUCUUCUUUUUCUUCUCCUUCUUUUUUUAAUAUUAUUAUUAUUAUUAUUAUUAUUUUAAUAAACUUUUAUCUUCGUCCUUUCAAGAAUGACGACUAGAUUUAGCAAACAGAAACUAGCUAAGACCCAAGAGAAAAAGGCAAAAGUUGGCACUGUUAGUGGUCUCUAGUAUAGGAAAAAGGCCGGUGAUGCCUCUAAGAAAGAUACUAUGAUAACGCCUCCUCCUACCCAUUCCCCUGCCAAGCACCCUGCCUCCCCCAUUUCGUCAUUAGAGAUGAUUGCUUCUGGUGGGGAGGAGACUAGGAAGAAGAAGAAAGUUGGUGGUAAGUCUUUCCUUCCUACCUUCUAGGACAAUAUUGAUGCAGUGGCUUUAAAGGCUCAUGAUGCGCUUUCUGUGGAUGAUCUAAGCCCUCUGAUGGCGAAGUCAUCUAGUGAGGUGAUAUCGUCUCAUAUCUAGAAGCUUGUGCAGGUAAGCAUUGUGGGCUAGUUUUUUACUUAUUCCUUCUCUUUGUUUUACUUCUACUAAAGGAAAAAUAUCUUGUAGGCUUUAGGGGAGUCUAUGUUCGUCUCUGGGAAGCUCCUAGUCUUAGAGAGGAAGGUGGCCACGUUUGAGCCCUUGGUCAAGUCCUUAUCUGCUGAGAAUGAGAUGUUGAAAAACAAGGUUGCUAUUCUUAUUGUCGAAGCCGAAAACGACAAGGAGCAUGUGGCAACCUUGGAAAAAAGCCUACAACUAAAGAAGGACUUUUGCAAGCUAAAGGACAAGCAGAUUGGUGAUCUUGAGUUGAAACUACAAAAUGUUAAGGUCGUGGCUAUACAAGACUUCAAAGACUCUGACAAGCAUUUUGAUGACUUGUGCAAGUACUACGUGGAGGGCUUUGAUCUCCUUGUAAAGUGGAUGGCCAAGCAUCAUCCUGACUUGGACAUCUUUGGCUUAGUUGUUGGCGAUGUUGAGAAGGAGCUCAUGGCUAAUCGUCCUUCUGAGGUUACAGCAGAGAAUGUGAUAGAGGAAGCCACAGACGUUGCCGAAGUGAUGGAGGAGGCUGCAAUUACAACCCCUAUAGAGCCUAUCCCUGAUGACCAGUAA